rnacentral:rRNA from 1 species
AGAUGAAACCAAACCUCCUUAUCAAAAUCUAGUCUCAUCAGAUCUCUGAAGCUAAACAGGGUUGGGCCUGGUUAGUCUUUGGACAGGAGACCGCUGUGAAUUUCAGGUGCCUCAGUGG